rnacentral:rRNA from 1 species
AUUGAACGCUGGCGGCAGGCCUAACACAUGCAAGUCGAGCGGAUGAAGGGAGCUUGCUCCUGGAUUCAGCGGCGGACGGGUGAGUAAUGCCUAGGAAUCUGCCUGGUAGUGGGGGAUAACGUCCGGAAACGGGCGCUAAUACCGCAUACGUCCUGAGGGAGAAAGUGGGGGAUCUUCGGACCUCACGCUAUCAGAUGAGCCUAGGUCGGAUUAGCUAGUUGGUGGGGUAAAGGCCUACCAAGGCGACGAUCCGUAACUGGUCUGAGAGGAUGAUCAGUCACACUGGAACUGAGACACGGUCCAGACUCCUACGGGAGGAAGCAGUGGGGAAUAUUGGGCAAUGGGCGAAAGCCUGAUCCAGCCAUGCCGCGUGUGUGAAGAAGGUCUUCGGAUUGUAAAGCACUUUAAGUUGGGAGGAAGGGAAGUAAGUUAAUACCUUGCUGUUUUGACGUUACCAACAGAAUAAGCACCGGCUAACUUCGUG